rnacentral:rRNA from 1 species
UACGUAGGGUGCAAGCGUUGUCCGGAAUUAUUGGGCGUAAAGAGCUCGUAGGCGGUCUGUCGCGUCUGCUGUGAAAAUCCAGGGCUCAACCCUGGACCUGCAGUGGGUACGGGCAGACUAGAGUGCGGUAGGGGAGAUCGGAAUUCCUGGUGUAGCGGUGAAAUGCGCAGAUAUCAGGAGGAACACCGGUGGCGAAGGCGGAUCUCUGGGCCGUAACUGACGCUGAGGCGCGAAGGCGUGGGGAGCGAACGGG